rnacentral:misc_RNA from 1 species
GAUGAAGAACGCAGCGAAAUGCGAUACGUAAUGUGAAUUGCAAAUUCAGUGAAUCAUCGAGUCUUUGAACGCACAUUGCGCCCCCUGGUAUUCCGGGGGGCAUGCCUGUCCGAGCGUCAUUGCUGCCCUCAAGCACGGCUUGUGUGUUGGGCCCCGUCCUCCGAUCCCGGGGGACGGGCCCGAAAGGCAGCGGCGGCACCGCGUCCGGUCCUCGAGCGUAUGGGGCUUUGUCACCCGCUCUGUAGGCCCGGCCGGCGCUUGCCGAUCAACCCAAAUUUUUAUCCAGGUUGACCUCGGAUCAGGUAGGGAUACCCGCUGAACUUAAGCAUAUCAAUAAGCGGAGA